GACGAACGCUGGCGGCGUGCUUAACACAUGCAAGUCGAACGAUGAAGAAGAGAAAAGCGAACUUCGGGUCAAAUUUCACUUCGGAUUAGUGGCAGACGGGUGAGUAACGCGUGAGCAACCUACCUAUUACAAAGGGAUAGCCUCGGGAAAAAGUGAUUAAUACCAUAUGACACAUUCAUAAGGCAUCUUAAGAAUGUUAAAGCUAAGGCGGUAAGAGAUGGGCUCGCGUCCCAUUAGCUAGUUGGUGGGGUAACGGCCCACCAAGGCGACGAUGGGUAACCGGUCUGAGAGGGUGAUCGGUCACAUUGGAACUGAGACACGGUCCAAACUCCUACGGGAGGCAGCAGUGGGGAAUAUUGCACAAUGGAGGGAACUCUGAUGCAGCGACGCCGCGUGAGUGAUGAAGGACUUCGUGUCGUAAAGCUCUGUUCUAUGGGAAGAAAAUGACUGUACCAUAGGAGUAAGCCCCGGCUAAAUCCGUG
rnacentral:rRNA from 1 species